GGAGAAACCUCACGCAUGCACAGGGAGAACAUGCAAACUCCGUGCAGAAAGAAUCAAACCCAGGACCUUCUUGCUGCAAGGCAACAGUGCUACCAACUGCACCACUGUGCUGCACUCAUAACAUAAUAUAUUCCACAUGUAAACCUGUUCUCUGCUGGCCACUACAUAACAUACCUCAGAGUAAUGAUGAUGUCAACCACUUAAUAACAUUAUGUGCAGAAUAUUGAUCAAAUUACACCCACAUUAGUCUAGGUCACAACAUGUCAACUCUUUGUUUCUUACUUAACAAUAUCAGUAUCAAUGCAAGUUUAACCCUCCCCCCCCCCCAUCUCUCUAGAGAAGAAAGUUAUCCAGCCUAACAGGUAAUCGCGUAAUCUAGUAAUUGAGAUUUUUCAUAACACCCUUUUGACAUAAAAAGUGUAUUUUUCACUAAAAGAAAUUAUUUACAUGUGUGGAAAGCUUAAAGUUGAGAUUUGAGCUUAAAAUUGGUCUUCAUAAUUUGACAUGGCUUCUUGAAAUAUAUUUCAAUGCUAUUCUAGGUGAACUUUGACAACUAUGAAGCAGUUCUAUCAUUUGUGCUGGUAAACAACAACCACUGGAAGUUGCUGAUUAGUGGUUUUUCCUCACAUGAAAUGAAUAUGUAUAUUUUUGACUUAAUUACAGCCGACCAUAUUAACAUGUUUCUACAACAUCGUUUCUUAUUAUGUUACUUUUCCUUUUUGGCCACUUUCAGUACAUCAAUGCAAAAGCCAGCACAGUAUUCCUUAUUGAUCCUGCACAACUCUCAUCAGAGCUUGAGGACUCCAAAAAUGCAUCUAAAAGAAUACAGGAAUAGUUCAAGAUGAGAAGGACAUGCCAUGGGAAAACAGACUGUGUUGGGAUCAAGUGGAAAGGGGGGGCUAUGAGCCACCCUAUUCAACAAGAUGGAAACCGCUGUGGAGUCAUUGUAGUCAAAGUACAUUGAGGAGUUAGUGUUUUGUGUUGUGCAAGUAUGGAAGGUGUGACAUUGAAAAUAACAUUAUUAUCACAGGAAAAUGUAAUUUACAAUCAAAUAACAGUUUUCAGGCUGGAUUGCAUGUAUUUUCUACAUUUUGGUAAGUUUUAAGUCAUUAUUGCCCAAGAGAUCCUUUUGGGGAAUAUAAUGAGUGUCCAUAUGUAACUGUUAGGGUCUGUUGCAUUAUCAUGUCCUGAAAGACAGUGUUCUUUUUUAAAUGGCGAAAGCACUGAUGGAAGCCUUUCCAGUUAUGCCAAAUGUGGAAUUUGACUCAAGCAAAGAAGCAAUGAAAGAUGAAAGAAGACAUCUGGCUCUUCAAAUCCUUGAAGCAUCAGAUCCAGUGUGACAACUGUGACAGAUGGUUCCACGCCUUGUGCCUGGACAUAAAUGGUAUGAAAAUGUGAAAAAAGCCAGCUGGAAAUGCCCAUUGUGCAACUAAUAUGCUAACAUUAUACUCGGUUCAAUAUCGUUGUAAAGAAAUAUUUUUAAUUUAUAUGUAGAAAAUAAAACAGUACUUUGUUUCUAAAGAA